rnacentral:lncRNA from 10 species
UCUCUGUAUCAGCGGGUUCUGCGCUCGUUUAUUCAACCAAGGAUCAAAAAUAUUUGAAAAAUAAAAAUUAACAAUACAGCAAUAAAAAACAAUACAAAUUUUAAAAAUACAGUAUAGCAAGUAUUUACAUAACAUUUACAUUGUAUUAUAGGUAUUAUAAGUAAUCUAGAGGUGAUUUAAAAUAUACAAGAGGAUGUGCAUAGGUUAUGUGCAAAUACUACACCAUUUUAUAUAAGAAACUUGAGCAUCCGCAGAUUUUGGUAUCCAUGGGAAGGGGGGUUGUCCUGGAACCAAUUCCCCAUGGAUACCAAGGGAUUACUGUAUAGCAAGUAUAUGUUUCCUAUGGCUGCUGUCACAAAUUACCACAAAUGUAGUGGCUUAAAACAAUCAACCUUUACUAUCUUAUAGCCCUAGGGAUCAGAAGUCCAACAUGGGUGUCACUGAGCUGAUUUCAAAGUGUUAGCAGGGGUGUGUUCCUUUCUGGAGGUCUAGGUGUAAAUCUGUUUCCUCGACUUUUCAAGCAUCUAGAGGCUGCCUGCCUUCCUUGGCUCAUGGCUCCCUUCAUCUUCAAAGCCAGCCAUGACAGAUCACAUCCUUCUCACACAUUUUGACACAAAUUCAUUUGCCUCCAUCUUUCACAUGCAAGGAAACUUGUGAGUACACUGGACUCAUCCAGAUAAUCCAGGAUGAUCUCCCUAUUUUAACAACAGCUGAUUAACAACCUUAACUUUAUCUACAAUCUUAAUUCCCCUUUGUCAUGAAACAUAAAAUAUUUCCAGAUUCCAGAGAUUAGGAUGUGAGCAUCUUUGUGUGUGUGUAUGUGUGUGGCAGGGUGCAUUAUCCUGCUCAUUACAGCAAAUGUGUUAGAGGUUAGAGAGAGGAGGUUGUCAUUAAGAUCUGGUUCCACAUGCAUAAUUCAAUAAAGUUGCUUAUAGAAAUUAUGUAUCGAAGUACCUCCAAUAAAUAUACUAAUAGAGGAACUAUAAGUUUUUUUUAUAUUAUCAAAAUUACAUCGAGUAUGAAAUAGGAAAAGAGACUAGUAUUGAUUAAAAUGAGCAAAGUGGAGUCAGUACUUCCCCCAUCCAAAUGUAAUAGUGAUAUGUAUGUUGCCCUUGGAUGUUCUGCAAAGGUAUGAAACCAACUGAAAAGAGGUACAACUUAAGCUGUUCCUGUGCGUUGAGCCAAAGAAAUUUUAAGUCCACAAGGGCAUGCCUCUUAAGGAGGGAGGGAUAGGCUAUAAGGCAGUGAGUUUCUGACGAUGAACCAAACUAUCCUUCCAACAAUCUAUUCCUCUUGCUAUAUUCUUUAAUAAACUACUGCUUUAUAGGUAAAAUCAAGUCUUUUAUGUAUUCUGCACUCCCGACUACCCUAUAACAAAACUAACACUUCCCUACAGUCACUUAUAAUUCUUUUUCAGAAAUCUCUUUCCAUUCUCAUUUCUUCUGCUGUUAUUUUAUACAGCAUUUCUUUAAUAAAUGGCCUCAAUACUUCCAAUGCUUUAGCAAGUUUUUUUGUCAUUGUUGUUUUGUUUUUUGUUCAUGUGUGUUUUUUUUUGUUUUGUUUUGUUUUGAGACAGAGUUUUGCUCGUGUUGCCCAGGCU